AUUGAACGCUGGCGGCAUGCCUUACACAUGCAAGUCGAACGGCAGCGCGGGGGCAACCCUGGCGGCGAGUGGCGAACGGGUGAGUAACAUAUCGGAACGUGCCCUGGAGUGGGGGAUAACUAGUCGAAAGACUAGCUAAUACCGCAUACGAUCCAAGGAUGAAAGUGGGGGACCGCAAGGCCUCAUGCUCCUGGAGCGGCCGAUAUCUGAUUAGCUAGUUGGUGGGGUAAAGGCCCACCAAGGCGACGGUCAGUAGAUGGUCUGAGAGGACGACCAGCCACACUGGGACGGAGACACGGCGCAGACUCCUACGGGAGGCAGCAGUGGGGAAUUUUGGACAAUGGGGGCACCCCUGAUCCAGCAAUGCCGCGUGUGUGAAGAAGGCCUUCGGGUUGUAAAGCACUUUUGUCCGGAAAGAAAUCGCCCUGGUUAAUACCUGGGGUGGAUGACGGUACUGGAAGAAUAAGCACCGGCUAACUACGUGCCAGCCGCUGCCGUAAUAC
rnacentral:rRNA from 1 species